GUCCUUCUGUGGUUCAUAUGCAUGAUGAUUGGGUUUGCAUGUGGCUAUGAGAUAUGUGCCUCCCUCCAACAUUGUUACAACAUUGGCACGUUACCUGUCUGAUA
ensembl:snoRNA